CCGGUUCGGUCCGGGCCCGGGACCCGGGACCGGCCGACCGGGUACGGGAGUAACACGUAUGCACCACGCCCGUGGCAGGGGGAUAAGCGGGGGAAACCCCGUCUAAUACCGCGUAACGCGGCCUUGGGGCAUCCCAAGGCCGCCAAAGGGAGCAAUCCCGGCCACGGAUGGGCAUGCGGCGCAUUAGCUAGUCGGCGGGGUAACGGCCCACCGAGGCGACGAUGCGUAGGGGUUCUGAGAGGAAGGCCCCCCACACUGGUACUGAGACACGGACCAGACUCCUACGGAAGGCAGCAG
rnacentral:rRNA from 1 species